rnacentral:rRNA from 1 species
UACGUAGGGGGCUAGCGUUGUCCGGAUUUAUUGGGCGUAAAGAGCGUGUAGGCGGCCAAGUAGGUCCGGUGUGAAAACUCGAGGCUUAACCUCGAGAUGUCAUCGGAAACCAUUUGGCUAGAGUCCGGAAGAGGAAAGUGGAAUUCCUGGUGUAGCGGUGAAAUGCGCAGAGAUGUGGAGGAACACCAAUGGCGAAGGCAGCCUUCUGGGCCAACACUGACGCUCAUGCACGAAAGCGUGGGGAGCAAACAGG